UCAAACCUUUGCUUCCCAUUCUUUCGCAUGGGAACGAUUCGAUCAAUCAGUGCGAGAGAGCAACAGAGAGUGGUGGAACACCUGAAUGGGCUCAUUUGAUAAAAUACAAUUUAAUGUAAUUAAAUAAAAAAAACCGCACGCCCAUAUUUUGAACGGUUGCCAUUACAAACAGUUUUGCACAUAUUCUUGCCGAAAACUUCACGAUUUGUUAAAUGCAUAUUUAAUUGUUUCACACAUAAUAAGUGGAAUACUGUAAUGAAGAUGAAAUCAAAAUGCAAUUUAAAACAUUGGCUAAAAUUGAACUGCAAUUUACGCCGGAAGAUUCCGCGUAUGGGUAAAAAAUUUAUGUGCACACACAAUUGCAUAUAUUAUUGUCAACAAACCCAAUAAAUGACAGUUGAGCCGAAAAUAUAUGCAUAAUUCGACAAUAUUACGUUAUGAAUCUGCGAUGACAUUUUUACUGACAUCACUUUUACUACACACCCAAUGCAAAUGGCGGUAAAGCUUUCCAAAUGGUUCCAAUGCAUAUGGAAAAGCUCUCGCAUCACAGAGCUUUUGAUGUAAAGCUUUCGUUUGGGUACAAUAUGAAGCUUUCAUUAGGUGUAGCGGACAAGUUCGGCACAUUUUCCGCAUGGCAUUAAAAUUGAAUUGUAUUUUACACCGGAACGUUCCGGUGUACGAUAUCGUUAAUGUGCAUGAUAAUUACACAUAUUAUCACAUACCAAGCAAGUGAAGGACGAUUGAGCCGAUUGGGUCCAAAUGUAAGCAAUGUGAUGAAAGAAAUAAACGAAUUAUAUUCCGCUGCGCUUUAAUUGUUGUCGGUAGGAAUGAAAACUUCUUUCCAGUACAUUUAAUGUUUUUAAAAUCUUAUUUUCUCGAUUCUUAUUUUUUCUUUUAUAAAAGAUUUUCUCGAUUUUUACAAAAAAAUCCUCAUUUUGUCACUUGCAUGCUUAUAACUCGGUCAGUUUCCAAUGGAUCUUCAAUUGUAAAACAGAUAUGGAUAGAUCUGCUUAUAAACUACCAAAAGUUAUUCUACGCCGAUGUGCUAAGUUGUCUGUGUCAAAUGUUAUUCGAGAUACAAAGACUUAAAAUUUUCUCGGUUUUUCAAAAAAAAAAAAUUUCUCAUUUUGCCACUUUGCAUGCUUAUAACUCGGUCAGUUUCCAAUUGAUCUUCAAUUGUAACACAGAUAUGGAUAGAUCUUCUCAUAAGCUUAUAAGCUAAAAA